rnacentral:rRNA from 1 species
UACGAAGGGGGCUAGCGUUGCUCGGAAUCACUGGGCGUAAAGCGCACGUAGGCGGCUUUCUAAGUCAGGGGUGAAAUCCUGGAGCUCAACUCCAGAACUGCCCUUGAUACUGGAAAGCUUGAGUUCGGGAGAGGUGAGUGGAACUGCGAGUGUAGAGGUGAAAUGCGUAGAUAUCGAGAGGAACACCUGCGGCGAAGGCGGGUAGCUGGGCCGACACUGACGCUGAGGCGCGAAAGCCAGGGGAGCGAACGGG